rnacentral:rRNA from 1 species
AUUGAACGCUGGCGGCAGGCCUAACACAUGCAAGUCGAGCGCGCGGCGGACGGGUGGGUAAUGUAUGGGAAUCUGCCUGAUGGCGGGGGAUAACUACGGGAACCGGUAGCUAAUACCGCAUACCAUCAGAUGAACCCAUAUGGGAUAAGCUUGUAGGUGAGGUAACGGCUCACCAAGGCGACGAUCCCUAGCUGGUCUGAGAGGAUGAUCAGCCACAUUGGGACUGAGAAACGGCCCAGACUCCUAUGGGAGGCAGCAGUGGGGAAUAUUGCACAAUGGGCGCAAGCCUGAUGCAGCCAUGCCGCGUGUAUGAAGAAGGCUUUCGGGUUGUAAAGUACUUUCAGUCGGGAGGCGUUAUCGACAGAAGAAGCACCGGCUAACUCCGUGCCAGCAGCCGCGGUAAUAC